rfam:Fibrobacter sp. TWOS genome assembly, contig: Ga0136287_118
GGCGGUUUAGCUCAGUCGGUAGAGCAACGGAAUCAUAAUCCGUGUGUCUGUGGUUCGACCCCACAAACCGCUA